rnacentral:tRNA from 2 species
GCGGGGAUGCCGGAGCGGUCAAACGGGAUGGGCUAAGGACCCAUUGGCUUAGUGCCUACGCAGGUUCGAAUCCUGUUCCCCGCA